AUGAAGCCCACCUCAAGAUGAGAUUUCCCAUCACAUGAAGUGAGUAAGACCCCUGAGAGAUGAUCAGGUUGAUAGGUCUGAGGUGGAAGCGUGGUGACACGUGCAGCUGACAGAUACUAAUCGGUCGAGGGCUUAUCCU
rnacentral:rRNA from 1 species